UUAGAAAUGUAUGCCAGGGUAACGAACUGAUUAAAUUAAAUACUGUCAGGGUAAUAAAGAAUUUUGUAUAUCUACUCCAUCAAAACUGUAUUGGAAUAAAACAUAAAAGCCAGCAAUUUUUGGAUGUAUAUUGAAGGAUAUAUUUCCAGAGUUACUGUUUAGAUUUUAAAAUAGCCUUCAUUUUUUGAUUCUCUUACAAGCAACAUCUCCUGACAAGAUGAGGGACCGACUGGAGGAGUUACAGCGUCAAGCUAAUUUUGGAGUUGAAGAAGAUGAAGAUGAUGAAGUCACUGUCAAAGUUGAACCAGAUCACAUGGAAGAAUUUUUUGGGCAGGUCGAAGAAAUUCGUGGCUACAUUGAUACAAUAUCAGAGAAAGUUCAAGAAGUCAAAAGAAAACACAGUGAUAUUUUAUCGGCACCACAAGCAGAUGACAAAACAAAGGAAGAAUUGGAGGAACUUAUGGCGGAAAUCAAAAGAAAUGCAAAUAAAGUUCGAGGCAAAUUGAAGUUUAUUGAACAAAAUAUUGAAGAAGGUUCUAAUUCAAAUACAGCUUCAUCAGCGGAUCUGAGAAUUAAGAAAACACAGCAUUCAACAUUAUCUAGGAAAUUUAUUGAAGUUAUGACAGAUUAUAACACUACGCAAAAUGAUUAUCGAGAAAGGUGCAAAGCCAGAAUUCAGAGACAAUUGGAAAUUACUGGGAAGCAGGUUUCAGACAACGAAUUAGAGAACAUGCUCGAGAACAGCAAAGAUGGGAGUCCUGCUAUCUUCACGGGAGGAAUAAUCAUAGACACCCAACAAACGAAGCAAGCCCUUAACGAUAUUGAAGCCCGACAUAAUGACAUUAUCAAAUUAGAAAACAGCAUAAAAGAACUACACGAUAUGUUUAUGGACAUGGCAAUGCUUGUAGAGCAACAGGGUGAAAUGGUAAACCAGAUUGAAUACAAUGUCAAUAAUGCCGCUGAUUAUGUGGAAAUUGCCAAAAAUGAGACAAAUCAAGCUGUUAAAUACCAGAGCAAAGCACGAAAGAAACAAAUCAUCUGUGUUAUUCUGAUUAUUGUAAUUCUUGCAAUCAUAGCUUUGAUUGUAGGAAUUAAAUGUGGCACUUCUAAGUGCUGAAACAAAUCUUUAUCAUUGUUUGUAUCAUUGUAGCACUGAUCAUACUUGCUAUUGUCCUGGCAGUUACAUUGACGUGAAUUGUGCAAUUUACAUUCUGAUUCCGACCAAAAAUACUUCAAUAAUUCUGCUGCAACAUAGAUUUCCAUUGCAAUGUUCAAGGACUAAAUAUCACCACAUGAUGGCAGUGAAAGUUGAUGCUAGCUUGAAGAUAAGCGAUUGGAUAUUAGCAAUGUUCAUUGUUUCUGUUUACUCGGACUUCAAUACUGAAGCAUUUUUUUUCUAUUUUGUAUCUCACGAUAGACUAUUAUAUAAUUAUAUUAGCAUUCUUUUAUGCCUUGUUUUUAAGCAUUUUUAUUUUUCACCGAUCUUGAGUUUAUGCGUUGAUACUUCAAUUUAAUUACUUUCUUCUAUUAUAUGUCACGCACGUUGUACUUCUGUCUUUCUUUUUAAUUUAUUGUACCAAAGUACUUCAGAACAUGACUACUACAGUAUUAAUGAAACUACACUUACAGAAAAAGAACUCGUUCCAUUAGUACCCACCGCCCAAGCAACAGCCAUACAACCUUGUCAGUGAACUAUCCAUCGUUUUAGAAUAAAAGAUUGUCAAAACAAACUUUAAAAUUUUAUUUUUAACCAACAGUUCUUAAAAGUUUAACUCUUUUUCGGAUUAGAAAUUGCUCAUCACAUGUUUUUUUAGUUUGUUUACCCCACCUUCAAACUUUGUUGAAUCUGCCACACCGAGCUACUGAAGCUAUAAAGAUAGGAUAUGAUUUGUGUAUGUGAGUCUACUCUUGGACUAGAGUUCAUAACCUGCAGUCUUUUCAUAGAUCAAUGCCUACUCAUUUUCCAUUCAUUGGGGUGUAACCACAUUUUAGAGUUAUAUUUGUAAUUACUUUUACAAUAAGUUGGCACUUUCCAAAUGAGACUCAUUGCCUGGAGGACAUCACACAAGUAUGAUUGAAAACAUUGAUUGGUUUUAGUUUCAAAAUGUUUUACCCAUCAUGGCCUUGUUUUCAGAGUUUAAAAUCUGUUCCCUUUUUUAGGUAUUU